rnacentral:rRNA from 1 species
GAUAGCGAACGAGUACCGUGAGGGAAAGGUGAAAAGUACCCCGGGAGGGGAGUGAAACAGUCUCUGAAACCGUGCGCCUACAAUCCGUCGGAGCCCUUUUGUGGGGUGACGGCGUGCCUAUCGAAAAAUGAGUCUGCGAGUCAGUGGCAUGUGGCGAGCAUAACCCGUGUGGGGUAUGCGUAGCGAAGGCGAGUCUUAAAAGGCGUUUGAGUCGCGUGUCCUGGACCCGAAGCGGGAUGAUCUAGCCCUGAGCAGGUUGAAGCGCGGGUAAGACCGCGUGGAGGACCGAACCCACCUGGGUUGAAAACCGGGGGGAUGACCUGGGGCUAGGGGUGAAAGGCCAAUCAAAUUCCGUGAUAGCUGGUUCUCUCCGAAAUGCAUUUAGGUGCAGCGUCGGUUGAUUGCAUCGCGGGGGUAGAGCUACUGGAUGCUUGCGGGCCCGUGUCGGGUACCAAUAGCAGCCAAACUCCGAAUACCGUGGAUGUGUAUUCCGGCAGUGAGUCGGCGGGGGAUAAGCUCCGUCGUCGAGAGGGAGACAGCCCAGACCGUCGUCUAAGGUCCCGAAGCGUGUGCUAAGUGGGAAAGGAUGUGGAGUCGCAUAGACAGCCAGGAGGUUGGCUCAGAAGCAGCCAUCCUUGAAAGAGUGCGUAACAGCUCACUGGUCUAGUGGUUCCGCGCCGACAAUGUAGCGGGGCUCAAGCACACCACCGAAGACGCGGCAGUAUUUUGUACUGGGUAGGAGAGCGUCCCAUGAGGGGCGAAGCGGCCGUGUGAACGCGCCGUGGACUUCAUGGGAGUGAGAAUGCAGACAUGAGUAGCGAGAGACGGGUGAGGAUCCCGUCCGCUGGAUGACCAAGGGUUCCGGGGCCACGUUCGUCGUCCCCGGGUGAGUCGGGUCCUAAGGCGAGGCCGACAGGCGUAGUCGAAUGGAUGAACGGGUGGAUAUUCCCGUACCGGCGGCGUACCGUAAGAGCCGAACGGAUGAGUACUAACCUCCGGUCGCGUGGCGUCGUUCCCUUCGGGGUUCGGGGCGCGUGGCUGUUGGGAGCGUAGUCCUGGUAGGCUAGCGCACAGGGGUGACACGGAAUGGGAGCCGGCCGCGGAGGUGGUUUUCCGUGGUCAAGCACGCAGCCAGUCAUGUAGGCAAAUCCGCAUGGCGCGCAUGGCGAGGUGUGAUGAUGGGAGCCGUUAUGGCUCGAUAUCCGGUUGUCCAGGCCGUCGAGAAAAGCCUCGGCGUGAGGGCCAUGGCCGCCCGUACCCCAAACCGACACUGGUGGUCAGGUAGAGAAUACCAAGGCGAUCGAGCGAAUCCUGGUCAAGGAACUCGGCAAAUCACUCCCGUGCCUUCGGUAUAAGGGAGACCCACUGGGGUGAAGGACCUUGCGUCCGGAGCUUUGGUGGGUGGCACAGACCAGGGGGUAGCGACUGUUUACCAAAAACACAGGUGCAUGCGAAGGCGCAAGCCGCUGUAUAUGCACUGACGCCUGCCCGGUGCCGGAAGGUUAAGAGGAUCCGUCAGCCCCUUUUGGGGUGAAGCGGUGAAUUCAAGCCCCGGUAAACGGCGGUGGUAACUAUAACCAUCCUAAGGUAGCGAAAUUCCUUGUCGGGUAAGUUCCGACCUGCACGAAUGGCGUAACGAUCUCCACACUGUCUCGGCCAGAGACUCGGUGAAAUUGCAGUCGCGGUGAAAAUUCCGUGUACCCGCAGAAAGACGGAAAGACCCUGUGCACCUUUACUAUAGCUUGACAUUGGAUUUUGGGCCUGCAUGUGUAGGAUAGGUGGGAGGCUGUGAACCCUGUACGCCAGUAUGGGGGGAGCCAUCCUUGAAAUACCACCCUUGCAUGUUUAAGAUCCUAACUUCUUCCGGUUAUCCCGGAGAAAGACAGUGUCUGGCGGGUAGUUUGACUGGGGCGGUCGCCUCCUAAAGUGUAACGGAGGCAUGCAAAGGUUCCCUCAGCCUGAUCGGAAACCAGGCGCUGAGUGCAAACGCAUAAGGGAGCUUGACUGUAAGAGAGACAUCUCGAACAGGAACGAAAGUUGGCGUUAGUGAUCCGGUGGUCCCGAAUGGAAGGGCCAUCGCUCAUUGGAUAAAAGGUACGCCGGGGAUAACAGGCUGAUCGCAUCCAAGAGUUCACAUCGACGAUGCGGUUUGGCACCUCGAUGUCGGCUCAUCACAUCCUGGGGCUGAAGCAGGUCCCAAGGGUACGGCUGUUCGCCGUUUAAAGUGGUACGCGAGCUGGGUUUAAAACGUCGUGAGACAGUUUGGUCCCUAUCUUCUGUGGGCGAAGGAGAAUUGAGAGGGCCUGUCCCUAGUACGAGAGGACCGGGAUGGACGCACCCCUGGUGAUCCUGUUGUCGCGCCAGCGGCAUAGCAGGGUAGCUAUGUGCGGAAGGGAUAACCGCUGAAAGCAUCUAAGCGGGAAGCCUGCCUCAAGAUAAGUUCUCCCCUCGAAAGAGCUGAAGGGCCCGGGUAGACUACCCGGUCGAUAGGCUGGAGGUGUAAGCGCGGCGACGUGCUCAGCUGACCAGUACUAAUAGCCCGAGCGGCUUAUUUUU